UGGGGAAUAUUGGACAAUGGGGGAAACCCUGAUCCAGCAAUGCCGCGUGUGUGAAGAAGGCCUUCGGGUUGUAAAGCACUUUCAGUUGGGAGAAAAAUCCUGCCGCUAAUAACGGUAGGUUUGAUGUUACCGACAGAAGAAGCACCGGCUAACUCUGUGCCAGCAGCCGCGGUAAUACAGAGGGUGCAAGCGUUAAUCGGAAUUACUGGGCGUAAAGCGCGCGUAGGUGGAUAAGUAAGUUGGAUGUGAAAGCCCCGGGCUUAACCUGGGAAUGGCAUUCAAAACUGCUUUUCUAGAGUAUGGUAGAGGAGAGUGGAAUUUCCGGUGUAGCGGUGAAAUGCGUAGAUAUCGGAAGGAACACCAGUGGCGAAGGCGACUCUCUGGACCAAUACUGACACUG
rnacentral:rRNA from 1 species